CUACGGGCUGCAGCAGUGGGGAAUAUUGGACAAUGGGGGAAACCCUGAUCCAGCAAUGCCGCGUGUGUGAAGAAGGCCUGCGGGUUGUAAAGCACUUUCGGUUGGGAGGACUGCUUCUAGCACUAAUAUUGUUGGAAGUUGACGUUACCUUCAGAAGAAGCACCGGCUGAACUCCGUGCCAGCAGCCGCGGUAAUACGGAGGGUGCAAGCGUAAUCGGAAUUACUGGGCGUAAAGCGCGCGUAGGCGGCUAGAUCAGUCGGGUGUGAAAGCCCCGGGCUUAACCUGGGAACUGCAUCCGCUACUGUCGAGCUUGAGUACAGGAGAGGAGAGUGGAAUUCCACAUGUAGCGGUGAAAUGCGUAGAUAUGUGGAGGAACACCAAUGGCGAAGGCAGCUCUCUGGCCUGAUACUGACGCUGAGGUGCGAAAGCGUGGGGAGCAAACAGGAUUAGAUACCCUUGUAGUC
rnacentral:rRNA from 1 species